rnacentral:lncRNA from 10 species
GGUAUAACCUCAUCCUGGAGCAGGGCACCCUAUCGUCAGAUGGUAUCAUCUUUAAGGGGUUGUCUCAGCCAUGCCUUUAGAAUUACCUUUCAUUGCUUGUCAUGCUGGAAGCUUCUGAAUGUUGCAUUUUGUGAUAGAAACAGUGGGUACCAUGGUCAUGUGCUCACAUCUCCUUUGCGGUAAAGAAAAGGAUCACUCAUUAACAUCCACCAGAUAACAUUCUCCAUGAAAGCACCAAAUAAACUAACCAGAAUUGGCUACAGUUUCUUCAAGAAAAUACCCCAAUGGAAGAAAAAAAGGUGGAGGGAGAAACUGAAUGAAGAAAGGAUGAUUUGAAAUUACCAGAAAGUGGAACGUGGAAAAAACAGAGUAAAACUAGUUUGAGAAUAAAAUCUUAGGUUGUAA